rnacentral:rRNA from 1 species
GAUGAACGCUGGCGGCGUGCCUAAUACAUGCAAGUCGAGCGAACAGACGAGGAGCUUGCUCCUCUGACGUUAGCGGCGGACGGGUGAGUAACACGUGGAUAACCUACCUAUAAGACUGGGAUAACUUCGGGAAACCGGAGCUAAUACCGGAUAAUAUAUUGAACCGCAUGGUUCAAUGGUGAAAGACGGUUUUGCUGUCACUUAUAGAUGGAUCCGCGCCGCAUUAGCUAGUUGGUAAGGUAACGGCUUACCAAGGCAACGAUGCGUAGCCGACCUGAGAGGGUGAUCGGCCCCACUGGAACUGAGACACGGUCCAGACUCCUACGGGAGGCAGCAGUAGGGAAUCUUCCGCAAUGGGCGAAAGCCUGACGGAGCAACGCCGCGUGAGUGAUGAAGGUCUUCGGAUCGUAAAACUCUGUUAUUAGGGAAGAACAAAUGUGUAAGUAACUAUGCACGUCUUGACGGUACCUAAUCAGAAAGCCACGGCUAACUACGUG